GGCAGGAUGGCCGAGUGGUCUAAGGCGCUAGAUUUAGGUCUCAUAUGAAACCUCUAGUCCGAAAGGGCGCGAGUUCGAAUCUCGCUUCUGUCA